UACGAAGGGGGGCUAGCGUUGCUCGGAAUUACUGGGCGUAAAGCGCACGUAGGCGGUCUUUUAAGUCGGGGGGUGAAAUCCUGGAGCUCAACUCCAGAACUGCCUUUGAUACUGAGGAGCCUUGAGUUCGGGAGAGGUGAGUGGAACUGCGAGUGUAGAGGUGAAAUUCGUAGAUAUUCGCAAGAACACCAGUGGCGAAGGCGGCUCACUGGCCCGAUACUGACGCUGAGGUGCGAAAGCGUGGGGAGCAAACAGG
rnacentral:rRNA from 1 species